rnacentral:rRNA from 1 species
UACGGAGGGGGCGAGCGUUUAUUCGGAAUUAUUGGGCGUAAAGGGUGCGUAGGCGGCGCGGUAAGUCGGGUGUGAAAUCUCGGGGCUUAACUCCGAAACUGCAUUCGAUACUGCCGUGCUUGAGGACUGGAGAGGAGACUGGAAUUUACGGUGUAGCGGUGAAAUGCGUAGAUAUCGUAAGGAAGACCAGUGGCGAAGGCGGGUCUCGUGGACAGUUCCUGACGCUGAGGCACGAAGGCCGGGGGAGCAAACGGG